rnacentral:rRNA from 1 species
UACAGAGGGUGCAAGCGUUAAUCGGAAUUACUGGGCGUAAAGCGUGCGUAGACGGUUAUGUAAGUCAGGUGUGAAAGCCCCGGGCUCAACCUGGGAAUUGCAUUUGAGACUGCAUAGCUAGGGUGCGGAAGAGGGAAGCGGAAGUUUCCGGUGAUAGCGGUGAAAUGCGUAGAUAUCGGAAGGAACAUCAGUGGCGAAAGCGGCUUCCUGGUCCAGCACCGACGUCAGGCACGAAAGCGUCGGGGAGCAAACAGG